UCUCCGUUCUUGCAAAGCACAAAUUUUUAAUCACCUAUCUCAAGAUAGAGGAAGGUGAUGACGAUGCCGAUUGGUGUCACCACACACCUAGGGAAUGAUCAAAAGUGGACAAAGCUUACUUCUUGACAUGGCUAGAUCUAGUUAGGGAGGUACAUAGGUCACUUCAUUAAAUGGGUAGAUCUACCUAGCUAGUUGGGGAAGGAGAUGACUCUAACUAGUGGAGGGGAGAAAAAGAGAAAGGAGUUUCAUUAAUGGAGGUGGUGUAGUUAUCUAGGAGCAAUAAAGAGAGAGAAAGAGAGGUAGAAGUGUCACGCAUAAUAUGCGAUACAUACAUCAACAUUACAUAAUAGAUGGGGAUACAUACAAGAGGCAUACAAUGCCACACGAAUACAACAUCAUCAUACACAAGAGCAUCAUCCGACUACGGAUGAAACACAAACAGAAACUCAAACGACAUCCACCCUGCUAGCCCAGGCUGCCGACCUGGAACUAUCCCCUGAUCGAAGAAGAAGCAGAAUAAGAACUCCAAAACAAGCAACAUCGCUCUCACGUCAAGAUCAUCGCAUAACCUGCACCUGCAACUGUUGUUGUAGUAAACUGUGAGCCACGAGGACUCAGCAAUCCCAUUACCAUGGGUAUCAAGACUAGCAAAGCUUAACAUGAAAGGAAGGGGUAAAAUGGUCAGGUUACAGCAGCGACUAAGCAUGAUAUGGUGGCUAACAUACGCAAAUAAGAGCGAGAAGAGAAGCAAAGGAACGGUCGUGAAGCUAGCAAUGAUCAAGAAGUGAUCCUCAACUCCUACUUACGUCAAACAUAACCCAAAACCUCAGGGUCAACUUAGCCCAUCACAAGCCCUCAGGGUCAACGAAGGAUAUUCUUUCUCCCAGGAAGACCCGAUCAGUCUCAGAAUCCCGGUUUACAAGACAUUUCGACAAUGGUAAAACAAGACCAGCAAAGCCGCCCGAUGUGCCGACAAAUCCCGAUAGGAGUUGCACAUAUCUCGUUCUCAGGGCACACCAGAUGAGCAAGACAUCGGGUUGGCAUAAACACUGGUUGCCCAGGGGGUGCCGGACAUCGCUCAGUUUGGACCAGCACCCGGAGGAGCACUGGCCCGGGGGGUAAAUAAAGAUGACCCUCGGGCUCCGGAAACCCAAGGGAAAAAAGGGCUAGGUGAGGCAAAUGGUAAAACCAAGGUUGGGCCUUGCUGGAGGAGUUCUAUUCAAAGCGAACUGUCAAGGGGGUCCCAUAAAUCACCCAACCGCGUAAGGAAUGCAAAAUUAAGGAACAUAACACCGGUAUGACAGAAACUAGGGCGGCAAGAGUGGAACAAAACACCAGGCAUAAGGCCGAGCCUUCCACCCUUUACCAAGUAUAUAGAUGCAUUAAUUAAAUAAGAGAUAUUGUGAUAUCCCAACAUAAUCUUGUCCAUCAUGGAGCAAUCUUCAACUUCACCUGCAACUAACAACGCUAUAAGAGGGGUUGAGCAAAAGCGGUAACAUAGCCAAGCAACGGUUUGCUAGGAAGGGUGAAAAGGUUAGAGGCUGACAUGGCAAUUUGGGGAGGCUUGAAGAACAAGUGAUAGGAAGCACAACAUAGCGAUAGAACAAAGCAACUAGCAUAGCAAUGAUAGUCAUGAGAUCCAAGGUGACGGUCAUCUUGCCUGAAAUCCCGCAAGGAAGGAGAACGAGUCCAUGAAGAAGACGAACGGACGUAGUCGAACGAAUCCUCACAACUCCGGAACGAAACCGAAGCUAACGAGAGAAGCAAACCGGAAAGGAGGAAACAACAUGGUAAACACACAACACAUAGACAUGGCAUGAUGCUCAACCAAGUAAGAUGCAUGUCCGGUUUAAAGAGGCAUGGCACGGCAAAGUGCAACAAACAAUACUACAAGUUAAGUGGAGCUCAAUAUGCAACGAGUUGCAUAUUGACGAAAUACCACAUUCGAGUUAUUUAGUUCGCUCUCGUUUAGGUACACAACAAUAUUAAAUGUUGUUAAACAUGGCAAGAGGUGAAACAUAAUGAAACUACCUAUCUAGGUAAGUUUAAAUGAGGCCGGAAGUAACAAACAACAAUUCCGAAAAAUCCUCAUGAGCAAUAUUCGAAUUUGGUACUGUUCUGCCCUAAACCAUAUUUUAAAGUUGUUAAACAUGCAAAGUAAGUGCACCAUGGUAAUCUAUGCAUUUUUCUACCCCAUUUAAAUAUAAAGUUUAUUAAAUUUGGAGCUACGGUUAUUUAGUUAUGAAUUAAAGCAUUUUAGCAUGGCAUUUGAGCAAAUUUAAACAAACAACAUUUUAAACAUUUUAAACAUGGAUGAAAAUGGAAAAAUAUGAAACUAGAUGAAAUUCUAAGCAUUUUACAUAUUAAAAUCAUUUUAAACAAAUGCACGGUUAAUGAGUUAUUAAAUGCAUGAACUCUAGGGGUUUUUCUGCAAAACUGUAAACUCUGGAUAAAUGCUAAAAUCAUCCAGAGGAAAAAAAACAGGAGCUGGGCCGAAUCUGAGAUCUGGCCCGAGUGUACAAGAGGGGGACUGGAGGGGCUGCUCACCCAUGGGCUUCGGCCCGGUCGGUGGAGAGGCUGGCGCGCUGGGCUUUGACGCGGGAUGCGGCCCACGGUGCUACGGGGAGUUGCGGUCAAUGUGCGAGGGGAACAGGGGCUGAUGCUCGUCCUCCCGCUCGAACUGACCAAGACAGAGCAGAAACGGCGGCGUGACUUGCGGCGACGGUGGACCUCCGGGAAGAAGAUGGCAACGGGCGGAGGCGCGGACGACGCAGAGACGGCCGGGAAGAGGAGAUGCUCGACGUGGGCUGCCGGAUCUUGGCGGAUCCGAGGCUGGAUGGCGUGCGGUGGCAGGGACUUGGGGCGCCGGGGGUGGGGACAGGCAAGGGCGGCGGAGGACGAUGGCGGCUCGGAUCUGCUGGCCGACGGUGCGAGGCUUGGUGCGGGACUGCUGCGGGAGGAGUCCGGCAAGGUCAGGCCGGAGCUGCAACGGGGUCGCGAGGGGAGGAGGCUGCAGGGCUGAGGAGGUGGCUUGGCGUCGGGUGGAGCCCCAUGGCCACGGCGGCCUCCCUGUAAGAAAGAGAGUUGAGAGAGAGAUGUGAGACGAGGGAGGACCAGAGGAAAAUAGGAGCGAGAGGGAGAAGAGGAGCGACGGGACCUGGGGCGUUCGGCCGUAGAUGGAGGCGAGGCUCACUGGAGCACACGAGGGCAACGGGGUCGAGCAUUUGCUGCGGGGACGGUGGAGCUGGUUGGAUGGGUGGAUCGAGGAUCUAGAGGGGAUUGAUGGAUGAACUAGAUCGAGAGGUGGAGGCGACGGGUUGGUCUGGUGUUGAAAAUGAGGGAGGGUUUUGGAUCGGGGAGGAUCCCGAUGAGGAAGAGACAAGAAGAGUGGCGGCGCUCGGGAGGAAGGGGAUGGG
rnacentral:lncRNA from 1 species